AGAAAUGGCUGAAAAUAGGCGAUAAAUUGUAAAUUUAUUUAUGAAUGAUUAAUUCUUUCUCCAAGCU
rnacentral:tRNA from 1 species